GAAAUGCGAUACGUAAUGCGAAUUGCAGAAUUCAGUGAAUCAUCAAAUCUUUGAACGCAAAUUGCGCUCUUGGGUAGCCCUAGGAGCACGCCUCUCUCAGUAUCGGUU
rnacentral:misc_RNA from 1 species